rnacentral:rRNA from 1 species
AGUGGCGGACGGGUGAGUAACGCGUGAGUAUCUGCCCAUAGGUGGGGGACAACCAUUGGAAACGAUGGCUAAUACCCCAUAUGCCGAGAGGUGAAAGGUUUACUGCCUGUGGAUGAACUCGCGUCUGAUUAGCUAGUUGGUGGGGUAAUGGCCUACCAAGGCGACGAUCAGUAGCUGGUCUGAGAGGAUGAUCAGCCACACUGGGACUGAGACACGGCCCAGACUCCUACGGGAGGCAGCAGUGGGGAAUUUUCCGCAAUGGGCGAAAGCCUGACGGAGCAACGCCGCGUGAGGGAGGAAUGUCUUUGGAUUGUAAACCUCUUUUCUCAAGGAAGAUAAUGACGGUACUUGAGGAAUCAGCAUCGGCUAACUCCGUGCCAGCAGCCGCGGUAAUACGGGGGAUGCAAGCGU